UACGGAGGGUGCAAGCGUUGCUCGGAAUUAUUGGGCGUAAAGGGUAGGUAGGUGGUCUCAUUUGUCUGGGGUGAAAGCCUUGAGCUUAACUCAAGAAGUGCCUCGGAAACGGUGAGACUAGAGUCCUGGAGAGGGUCGUGGAAUUCCCGGUGUAGCGGUGAAAUGCGUAGAGAUCGGGAGGAACACCAGUGGCGAAGGCGGCUACCUGGACCAGCACUGACACUGAGGCACGAAAGCGUGGGGAGCAAACAGG
rnacentral:rRNA from 1 species